AUAUAGCCCCGGUUGCAGCGAUACCCUGCAGCAACGAGGUACGAGGCAGCGAAGCGUAAAAGCGGAAAACGGGAAGAAAC
rnacentral:ncRNA from 2 species